rnacentral:rRNA from 1 species
AAUGCCUAGGAAAUUGCCCUGAUGUGGGGGAUAACCAUUGGAAACGAUGGCUAAUACCGCAUGAUGCCUACGGGCCAAAGAGGGGGACCUUCGGGCCUCUCGCGUCAGGAUAUGCCUAGGUGGGAUUAGCUAGUUGGUGAGGUAAGGGCUCACCAAGGCGACGAUCCCUAGCUGGUCUGAGAGGAUGAUCAGCCACACUGGAACUGAGACACGGUCCAGACUCCUACGGGAGGCAGCAGUGGGGAAUAUUGCACAAUGGGCGCAAGCCUGAUGCAGCCAUGCCGCGUGUGUGAAGAAGGCCUUCGGGUUGUAAAGCACUUUCAGUCGUGAGGAAGGUAGUGUAGUUAAUAGCUGCAUUAUUUGACGUUAGCGACAGAAGAAGCACCGGCUAACUCCGUGCCAGCAGCCGCGGUAAUACGGAGGGUGCGAGCGUUAAUCGGAAUUACUGGGCGUAAAGCGCAUGCAGGUGGUUUGUUAAGUCAGAUGUGAAAGCCCGGGGCUCAACCUCGGAAUUGCAUUUGAAACUGGCAGACUAGAGUACUGUAGAGGGGGGUAGAAUUUCAGGUGUAGCGGUGAAAUGCGUAGAGAUCUGAAGGAAUACCGGUGGCGAAGGCGGCCCCCUGGACAGAUACUGACACUCAGAUGCGAAAGCGUGGGGAGCAAACAGGAUUAGAUACCCUGGUAGUCCACGCCGUAAACGAUGUCUACUUGGAGGUUGUGGCCUUGAGCCGUGGCUUUCGGAGCUAACGCGUUAAGUAGACCGCCUGGGGAGUACGGUCGCAAGAUUAAAACUCAAAUGAAUUGACGGGGGCCCGCACAAGCGGUGGAGCAUGUGGUUUAAUUCGAUGCAACGCGAAGAACCUUACCUACUCUUGACAUCCAGAGAACUUUCCAGAGAUGGAUUGGUGCCUUCGGGAACUCUGAGACAGGUGCUGCAUGGCUGUCGUCAGCUCGUGUUGUGAAAUGUUGGGUUAAGUCCCGCAACGAGCGCAACCCUUAUCCUUGUUUGCCAGCGAGUAAUGUCGGGAACUCCAGGGAGACUGCCGGUGAUAAACCGGAGGAAGGUGGGGACGACGUCAAGUCAUCAUGGCCCUUACGAGUAGGGCUACACACGUGCUACAAUGGCGCAUACAGAGGGCGGCCAACUUGCGAAAGUGAGCGAAUCCCAAAAAGUGCGUCGUAGUCCGGAUUGGAGUCUGCAACUCGACUCCAUGAAGUCGGAAUCGCUAGUAAUCGUGGAUCAGAAUGCCACGGUGAAUACGUUCCCGGGCCUUGUACACACCGCCCGUCACACCAUGGGAGUGGGCUGCAAAAGAAGUAGGUAGUUUAACCUUCGGGGGGACGCUUACCACUUUGUGGUUCAUGACUGGGGUGAAGUCGUAACAAGGUAGCGCUAGGGGAACCUGGCGCUGGAUCACCUCCUUAAACGAUGAU